UGACCUGCCUUUGAGUGGGGGGAUAACGUCCCGAAAGGGACGCUAAUACCGCAUGACAUCCUGCCUUUGAAGAGGUGGAGAUCAAAGCUGGGGAUCGCAAGACCUAGCGCUUGAAGAGGGGCCCGCGUCCGAUUAGCUAGUUGGUGGGGUAAUGGCUCACCAAGGCGACGAUCGGUAGCCGGCCUGAGAGGGCGGACGGCCACACUGGGACUGAGACACGGCCCAG
rnacentral:rRNA from 1 species